rnacentral:rRNA from 1 species
UCAAUGACUUAAAUAGCCGCAGAAAUUUAACUGUGCUAAGGUAGCAUAAUCAUUUGAUUUUUAAUUAAAAUCUAGAAUGAAAGACUUAACAAUUUAAAUUCUUUUUUAUUUUUAAUCAUUAAAAUUUUAUUAAAAAUAAAAAUAUUUUUAUUUUUUAAAAAGACGACAAGACCCUUUUAAACUUAACUUUAGUUUAACUGGGACAGUUAUUUAAUAAUUAUUUUAAAAUAUUUAUUUUACUAAUAACCUAAUAUUAUUAAAUUAACAAGUUACUAAAGGGAUAACAGCGUAAUUUAUACUUAAAGCUCUUAUUUAAUUAUAAGAUUACGACCUCGAUGUUGAAUUAAAUUCCUUUUUUAAGCAAAAUAAAUAAAAGGAAGUCUGUUCGACUUUUAAAAAUUUACAUGAUUUGAGUUCAAA